AUGAACGCUGGCGGCGUGCCUAAUACAUGCAAGUCGAGCGAACAGACGAGGAGCUUGCUCCUCUGACGUUAGCGGCGGACGGGUGAGUAACACGUGGAUAACCUACCUAUAAGACUGGGAUAACUUCGGGAAACCGGAGCUAAUACCGGAUAAUAUAUUGAACCGCAUGGUUCAAUAGUGAAAGACGGUUUUGCUGUCACUUAUAGAUGGAUCCGCGCCGCAUUAGCUAGUUGGUAAGGUAACGGCUUACCAAGGCAACGAUGCGUAGCCGACCUGAGAGGGUGAACGGCCACACUGGAACUGAGACACGGUCCAGACUCCUACGGGAGGCAGCAGUAGGGAAUCUUCCGCAAUGGGCGAAAGCCUGACGGAGCAACGCCGCGUGAGUGAUGAAGGUCUUCGGAUCGUAAAACUCUGUUAUUAGGGAAGAACAAAUGUGUAAGUAACUAUGCACGUCUUGACGGUACCUAAUCAGAAAGCCACGGCUAACUACGUG
rnacentral:rRNA from 1 species